UUUUGGGGCGGUGUUUACCGGCUCUUCUUCUCUGCCUCCGCCCUGCUCUUGGCUGGGCUUUAAGGCUCUUCUGUUUUCCAGCCAGACCCAGAAAAACGAAAACACAGUUUGGGGAGCCCCCACUAGCUGGCGCCUGUGCCAGCUCAUCUCUGGCCAUCGCGCAGCUCCGGGUGCACACAGGGGCCAAGGCCAGCUCCGCAUUCUUCCCCCCCUCCCACUUCUCUGGAGCCCCGAACCCAGCAGAAGAAGAGCUUCAGCUCCAUAGGCUGCCAGAGUCGACUGGGUCCCUCCUCACCAAAAAUGGUGAGAUGAGAUUUCGUCUUGUCCGCUGAAGAGCCACACGCAG
rfam:Otolemur garnettii contig057534, whole genome shotgun sequence.